rnacentral:rRNA from 1 species
UACGGAGGGUGCAAGCGUUGUCCGGAUUUAUUGGGUUUAAAGGGUGCGUAGGCGGUCUUUUAAGUCAGCGGUGAAAUUACUGAGCUCAACUCGGUGACUGCCGUUGAUACUGGGAGACUUGAGCAUUGACGAAGAGGGCGGAAUUGAAGGUGUAGCGGUGAAAUGCAUAGAUAUCUUCAAGAACACCGAUUGCGAAGGCAGCUCUCUAGGGAAUAACUGACGCUGAGGCACGAAAGCGUGGGUAGCAAACAGG